rnacentral:sRNA from 1 species
AUAUUCUGCCCCACGGGAAAGGAUGAGAAGCUUCGACCAGGGUUCGACUCGAGCGUAGCGAGAGAACGUUGCCGCAGGCAACGGCCCGAAGGGCGAGGCGCUUUAGCGCCGAGUUAUCCUUCCCCCACCGCUG